AGAUAUUCUCGGUAGGUGAGGCUACUAUUAGGAUAUGGAUUACUGCCGUAAAAAAAUGGAAACAUUUUGCACUGGUUAACAGAUUUUGUCGAAAAUAAGGCUUAAUCUAAUGUAAUUUCACGCCUAAUAGAGUUAAAACUUGAACGGGUACGUAA
rfam:Enterococcus columbae DSM 7374 = ATCC 51263 genomic scaffold acyDG-supercont2.2, whole genome shotgun sequence.